rnacentral:misc_RNA from 1 species
GAAAACCUCUCAUCAAUAAAUUUGGUCUGAAACCCAUAUUUGUUGAUGGAUGAUGAGUGUUGCCGUUAUUGGCUCACUUUAAAUUCAUAAGUUGGUUCAUUUACUGUUUGUGGAAUGACUUAAUGUGAUAAAUAUCUUCAUUAAGGAUUGCAAUAUUUUGCUACCACAUUUUAAUGUUCAUGAAUAGCUUCUAACCAAAUGAAUAAUCUGGUUAACCCCAGAGUAUCAUUCUUGAUU